rnacentral:rRNA from 1 species
UACGAAGGGGGCUAGCGUUGCUCGGAAUUACUGGGCGUAAAGGGCGCGUAGGCGGAUAGUUUAGUCAGAGGUGAAAGCCCAGGGCUCAACCUUGGAAUUGCCUUUGAUACUGGCUACCUUGAGUUCGGGAGAGGUGAGUGGAAUGCCGAGUGUAGAGGUGAAAUUCGUAGAUAUUCGGCGGAACACCAGUGGCGAAGGCGACUCACUGGCCCGAUACUGACGCUGAGGCGCGAAAGCGUGGGGAGCAAACAGG